UACGGAGGGUGCAAGCGUUGUCCGGAUUUAUUGGGUUUAAAGGGUGCGUAGGUGGCCCGUUAAGUCCGGGGUGAAAGCCCACAGCUCAACCGCGGAACUGCCAUUGAUACUGGGAGGCUUGAGUACAGACGAGGUAGGCGGAAUUGAAGAUGUAGCGGUGAAAUGCUUAGAUAUCUUCAAGAACACCGAUUGCGUAGGCAGCUUACUAGGCUGUAACUGACGCUGAGGCACGAAAGCGUGGGGAGCGAACAGG
rnacentral:rRNA from 1 species